GACGAACGCUGGCGGCGUGCCUAACACAUGCAAGUCAACUUGACUGAAGGAGCAAUCUGACAGUAGAGUGGCGCAAGGGUGCGUAACGCGUAAGUAACUUGCCCAAGGUAAGGAAUAACGUCGAGAAAUCGGCGCUAAUACCUCAUAAUGCAGCGGAUCCGCAUGGAUAUGUUGUUAAAGGUUUACCGCCUUGGGAUAGGCUUGCGUCUGAUUAGCUAGUUGGUGUGGUAACGGCACACCAAGGCUACGAUCAGUAACUGGUCUGUGAGGAUGAUCAGUCACACUGGAACUGAGACACGGUCCAGACUCCUACGGGAGGCAGCAGUGAGGAAUAUUGGGCAAUGCUCGAAAGAGUGACCCAGCAACGCCGCGUGGAGGAUGAAGGUA
rnacentral:rRNA from 1 species